CAGGGCAGAGAGCCUGGGAUGCUGAGCAGGACGUUGCUGAGCCCCACACUUGCUCUGCAGGCGUCAGUGAGAAGAGGGCAGACCUGCUGCCCCCUGCUCUGGCCCAGCAGCCUGGCCCCAGCCCCACCACUGGUAUUUCCAGGCUGGGGUGUGCAGUGCUGGCGGUCCCCACUGCAGGCAGACCCCAGGAGCACACAGGAGCAAAGCAGGAGCGAGCCCAGGGAGGCACCUUGUUGUGCCAGGCUCGCCUCCCUGCCACCUUCCCUAGGCUGGAAGCAUGGAGCAGUGAGCGGAGCAGGAAGCAGCCAGCACACGGGGUGUGCUGUGGGCCCAGAGGGAAGCAAGCAAGAGAACGCAAUUGAGGAAGCUCAUGUCUCAGUUGUGUGCGUCUCAGCCAAAGUCCAAAGCAGGAGGCGCUUACAAAGAACAACAGAAAAAUUCCAGCGAUGUUAUCUGCCCCCACAGAACAAGAUUAGCCCAGAGGAAAAAAAAAAAAAAAAAAAGAGAGAAGCUGUUUACAAGCUGGGCCAGCCAGCUCAGUGGCUGGAGCACGCCAAUGCGGAGGUCAGCUGCUGGCCUGGCUACCUCUGCCACCUCAGAAGAAGCACAAAACCCCUCCGUGCCUUGCUCUGGCCUCAGACCUUUGCACCACUUAGCGGCCCUGGUGGGUGCGAUGCUGCUGGCGGUGCGCAGUCCUGUGUCGCCAUGAGAGCAGGCAGGCAGCCGUGCAUCCCAGGGUACGUGCAGGGAGCUUGCAUGUGAGCCACCUGCACGCCUGGCCACAGAGAGGCAGAACCAUCUGCAGCAGAGCCAUGUUGAGGCACAGCCUUCCCCUCCCCAGCAUCUUUGCUGCCAAACCCCUACAAGUUAACGGAGAGCCUACUUUCCCUGGAGCUGGCCACCAGCUGCACACAUUUGCUCUCAGCAUGCACAGUCCGUGCUUCCAGCAGGGCUAUCAGGGAGCAGCCUGUCCUUCACCCCCCUUCCUUGGGACAUUUGCACUGCUAGUCUCUGCCUAACACCUUCUGCUUUUUACAAAGUGCUUCUAUCUAAAUGCAGAUGAGG
rnacentral:lncRNA from 1 species